GACGAACGCUGGCGGCGUGCCUAAUACAUGCAAGUCGAGCGAAUCAAUGGGAGCUUGCUCCCUGAGAUUAGCGGCGGACGGGUGAGUAACACGUGGGUAACCUACCUGUAAGAUUGGGAUAACUCCGGGAAACCGGAGCUAAUACCGGAUAACAUUUUGAACCGCAUGGUUCAAAAUUGAAAGAUGGUUUCGGCUAUCAC
rnacentral:rRNA from 1 species